UUACCCCUCUCAGAGGGUGAGGCUUCUAAACUCUUAAAUGCAGCUGUCCUACUACAUGCUCACUGGACCCCAUCCCAACCAACCUCCUGCAAUCUAUAGCUCCUAUAGUCACAGCAGCAAUCACACAUGUGACCAAUGCUUCACUGACAUCAGGUACAUUUCCUACUGCAUUCAAACAUGCUCAGGUUUCACCACUGUUAAAAAAACCUUCCCUCACUCCCACUCAGGUGGAAAACUAUUGGCCUGUCUCUCUCCCAUUCCUCUCUAAGACAUCAUUGAAAAGGCAAUGUUCAAGCAGGUCACUGAGUUCCCCACUCCACUGAAACAGCUCUGUUGUCAGAAGCCUUAAAAGACGCCAGAGCGGUAACUAAGUCCUCAGUACUCAAAUCUGCUCGACGUAUCAGCAGCAUUUGACACGGUUAAUCACCAUAUCCUAUUGUCCAUACUCUCAAAAAUAGGUGUAGUGGUAUGAGGCACCACUGAUUUAGUUUGUUUGACUGCAACCCGGCCCCUCUGACUUAUUAGCCAAUCACUGCGCUUACCGAGAGGAGAAAAGUAGGCUGUGUCCCUCCUCCUGAUCUCUCGCUUCCGGGUCGUUGUAUGUGCCGCUAGCAUCCGAGCACAGGUAAGCACAUAUGGCCGUGCUGUGUUGUGUAUAUUCGUCCGUGUUUCAUUCAAUUAAAACUGUCGUUCCCUAAUAGAUCCGGCGUCUUCACUGCGGUCGAGCCGAUCAGUCGGGGCGGUGUUUAUUGCCGCAACCAGAGCAUUGUGCUGAAGGCCGACGGUGGUGGUGGUGGUUCUCCUGGGUGGUGGUGGUCCUGUGUGCUGUGUGAUCCCUUUUUAAGAUUUUCUUUGUUUACACGUCACCUUUUGCUGUGUGUGUGGGGUGUCCUCCUUUUCCUUUUGGAUGUCACUUCCCCUACCAAACCCCUCCUCCAGCCGUGCUGAAGGCCGACGGUGGUGGUGGUGGUUCUCCUGGGUGGUGGUGGUCCUGUGUGCUGUGUGAUCCCUUUUUAAGAUUUUCUUUGUUUACACGUCACCUUUUGCUGUGUGUGUGGGGUGUCCUCCUUUUCCUUUUGGAUGUCACUUCCCCUACCAAACCCCUCCUCCAGCCGGUAAGCCUCAGACUACACCCCCCUUUUAGUUGGGCUCU